rnacentral:rRNA from 1 species
CCUACGGGCGGCAGCAGUGAGGAAUAUUGGUCAAUGGACGAGAGUCUGAACCAGCCAAGUAGCGUGAAGGAUGACUGCCCUAUGGGUUGUAAACUUCUUUUAUCUGGGAAUAAAAUGUUCCACGUGUGGGGUUUUGUGUGUACCCGAAGAAAAAGGAUCGGCUAACUCCGUGCCAGCAGCCGCGGUAAUACGGAGGAUCCGAGCGUUAUCCGGAUUUAUUGGGGUUAAAGGGAGCGUAGGUGGAUAGUUAAGUCCGGGGUGAAAAUUUGAGGCUCAACCGUAAAAUUGCAGUUGAAACUGGCAGUCUUGAGUACAGGAGAGGUAGGCGGAAUUCGUGGUGUAGCGGUGAAAUGCUUAGAUAUCACGAAGAACUCCGAUUGCGAAGGCAGCACACUGGACUGCAACUGACACUGAGGCACGAAAGUGUGGGUAUCGAACAGGAUUAGAUACCCUAGUAGUC